rnacentral:piRNA from 1 species
UCACAGGAGUGUCUUGUACUCUGAAGUG